AGAGUUUGAUCCUGGCUCAGGAUGAACGCUGGCGGCAUGCCUAAUACAUGCAAGUCGAACGAAGUUUCGAGGAAGCUUGCUUCCAAAGAGACUUAGUGGCGAACGGGUGAGUAACACGUAGGUAACCUGCCCAUGUGUCCGGGAUAACUGCUGGAAACGGUAGCUAAAACCGGAUAGGUAUACAGAGCGCAUGCUCAGUAUAUUAAAGCGCCCAUCAAGGCGUGAACAUGGAUGGACCUGCGGCGCAUUAGCUAGUUGGUGAGGUAACGGCCCACCAAGGCGAUGAUGCGUAGCCGGCCUGAGAGGGUAAACGGCCACAUUGGGACUGAGACACGGCCCAAACUCCUACGGGAGGCAGCAGUAGGGAAUUUUCGUCAAUGGGGGAAACCCUGAACGAGCAAUGCCGCGUGAGUGAAGAAGGUCUUCGGAUCGUAAAGCUCUGUUGUAAGUGAAGAACGGCUCAUAGAGGAAAUGCUAUGGGAGUGACGGUAGCUUACCAGAAAGCCACGGCUAACUACGUGCCAGCAGCCGCGGUAAUACGUAGGUGGCAAGCGUUAUCCGGAAUCAUUGGGCGUAAAGGGUGCGUAGGUGGCGUACUAAGUCUGUAGUAAAAGGCAAUGGCUCAACCAUUGUAAGCUAUGGAAACUGGUAUGCUGGAGUGCAGAAGAGGGCGAUGGAAUUCCAUGUGUAGCGGUAAAAUGCGUAGAUAUAUGGAGGAACACCAGUGGCGAAGGCGGUCGCCUGGUCUGUAACUGACACUGAGGCACGAAAGCGUGGGGAGCAAAUAGGAUUAGAUACCCUAGUAGUCCACGCCGUAAACGAUGAG
rnacentral:rRNA from 1 species